rnacentral:rRNA from 1 species
GAUGAACGCUGGCUACAGGCUUAACACAUGCAAGUCGAGGGGAAACGACGGGGAAGCUUGCUUCCCCGGGCGUCGACCGGCGCACGGGUGAGUAACGCGUAUCCAACCUGCCUCUGACUGAGGGAUAACCCGUCGAAAGUCGGCCUAAUACCUCAUGGCAUCGUCUGCGGGCAUCCAACGACGAUUAAAGAUUUCAUCGGUCAGGGAUGGGGAUGCGUCUGAUUAGCUUGUUGGCGGGGUAACGGCCCACCAAGGCUACGAUCAGUAGGGGUUCUGAGAGGAAGGUCCCCCACAUUGGAACUGAGACACGGUCCAAACUCCUACGGGAGGCAGCAGUGAGGAAUAGUGGUCAAUGGGCGGGAGCCUGAACCAGCCAAGUAGCGUGCAGGAGGACGGCCCUAUGGGUUGUAAACUGCUUUUAUGCGGGGAUAAAGUGAGGGACGUGUCCUUCAUUGCAGGUACCGCAUGAAUAAGGACCGGCUAAUUCCGUG